GACGAACGCUGGCGGCGCGCCUAACACAUGCAAGUCGAACGAGCGAGAGAGAGCUUGCUUUCUCGAGCGAGUGGCGAACGGGUGAGUAACGCGUGAGGAACCUGCCUCAAAGAGGGGGACAACAGUUGGAAACGACUGCUAAUACCGCGUACGAUAUGCUUUCGGCAUCGAGAGUAUAUGAAAGGUGGCCUCUAUAUAUAAGCUAUCGCUGAAGGAGGGGAUUGCGUCUGAUUAGCUAGUUGGAGGGGUAACGGCCCACCAAGGCGAUGAUCAGUAGCCGGUCUGAGAGGAUGAACGGCCACAUUGGGACUGAGACACGGCCCAA
rnacentral:rRNA from 1 species